GGGCAGGUACCGAAGCGGUCAAACGGGGCAGACUGUAAAUCUGCUGGCGGAACGCCUUCGGAGGUUCGAAUCCUCCCCUGCCCACCC
rnacentral:tRNA from 1 species